ACAACUAGAGGGUGGACAGGAGGGUCAUUGAGCAGCGGAAUGGUUCUCAGGAGACUGAAGUAGCUCCUUUCUGCAGGCAGGUCGUGCCUACCAGUGUCCAGCUCUCAGCAUAGAGACCCAGCAGUAGAGAGGAAACCCUUUUUGCAGUGCUGGAUGCUUCCUGCCCUUGAACAUUGGACUUCAAGUUCUUCAGCUUUGGGACUGAGACUGGCUUCCUUGAUCCUUACCUUGCAGAUGGCCUACUGUAGGAUCCUGUGAUCAUGUAAGAACAAAGAAGGCAUGUUGUUUAUGUGCACUAUGAAAGUCUUCAUGUAAAUGCCAUCUAUACACUCCCACAGUUAAAUUUUGACCUCAGAGGAAAAAGUGGACACAUGCAGAUGAUUUUUAAGCUGCUGUCAAUUACCACUCUUCAAUCUGUUUCUGAUUUUGACUACUCUAGCUACAUCAUAAAUUCCUACAGCUACCCCAAACUUCAACAACCAUUAUUCUGAUCAGUCAGCAGUCAUUCAUAGCAAGGAUAGACUCAUCUCUAGCCAAAACGUUACAACUCCACUGAACGCUCAGAUGAGAUGAUCAUUAGCAUUUCAUAAUAGUUAAGUAUUUUUUAUUAAGG
rnacentral:lncRNA from 13 species